GCUGAAGUUAAAGAUUCGAGAGUAACUAAUGAAGGUUGUACUGGCACUUGCAUUAGUCCAUAUAAACAACUACAAUACAUCAAUGUUCUCUAUUAAAAGAUUCAUUUUGUGUCCCUGUUCUUUCUUUCAUUCAUUAGUGAUUUACAAGCAAACUUCCAGGUAAAUGCUCAAUUCAACAAAAUUUAAACAGUUGGCACAAUUGAGACAAAAUUCUUUUCCUGAGAUAGUGCCAUUGCAUCUUGAUAUAGUGCAUCUUAUCACUCUUCAAGUUGGAGCAACUCUCUGAUACCUUCACAUACCUGCAAAUGAUCACAAGUAAUGACAAUCACGACACAAAAGCCUGAUGGGUAGAACUCCAUAAAGGAAGACAAAAAAAAAAAAAAAAAAAAAAAACAAAACAGACAUACCAUCUUGAUUUGUGCUUUAAUGGAUGCAAUGACAUUUGUAUAGUCC
rnacentral:lncRNA from 1 species